rnacentral:rRNA from 1 species
CCAAUAGCGUAUAUUAAAGUUGUUGCAGUUAAAAAGCUCGUAGUUGAAUUUCGGGAUUGGCGCAUCGGUCGUGCCUCACGGGGUAUGAACUGGUGCAGUCAAUUUCUCACCUUCUGGAGAACCGCGAUGUCCUUAAUUGGAUGCCGCGGGGAACCAGGACCUUUACUUUGAAAAAAUUAGAGUGUUUAAAGCAGGCAUUUUUGCUUGAAUACAUUAGCAUGGAAUAAUAAAAUAGGACGGCAUGGUUCUAUUUUGUUGGUUUCUAGGACCACCGUAAUGUUUAAUAGGGAUAGUUUGGGGCAUUAGUAUUCAAUUGUCAGAGGUGAAAUUCUUGGAUUUAUUGAAGACUAACUACUGCGAAAGCAUUUGCCAAGGAUGUUUUCAUUAAUCAAGAACGAAAGUUAGGGGAUCGAAGACGAUCAGAUACCGUCGUAGUCUUAACCAUAAACUAUGCCGACUAGGAAUCAGACGAUGUUAAUUUUUUAAUGACUCGUUUGGCACCUUACG